CCUGGGGACCCAACCUGCAACCUUUCUGUUUACGUCAGGACGCUUGAGUCAACUGAGCUGCACCCGCCAGGGCCCUGAUGGUUUUUCAGUAGGUGUUUGGGGAAGGUGCUGUGUGAUGUCUUUUCGUCAUGUGUGAAGACGUAACUACUUUCAAAGAAGUGUCGAUGACUAUAUUUAUUUUACCACAGCAUCCAGAGCAAUGGACUUGGUUGACACUUGCCAGCUUUAAAGUCUAGUAGAGUGCUGAGAAGGUGAACUUGGGGAAGCACUCACGCCAGCAGGGUCAUUUCCAGGGAGCAGUGGAUUGGCUUUACUAAGGGCACAUCAAAACCUGGAGGUACCAAGCAGUUAGGAGGUGUUCUAUGGAAAAGGGGGUCAAUUCUGACCACUCGUGUUUCUGCUCACUAUUCCACUCUAAGAAAACUUUUUUAAAAAUAGAAAACUUUAUUAAAAUUGUGAAAAACUUAGUUAUCCUGGCACAUGUUUGUAACAGUGGGAGAUUGUUACUCACCCCACUGUUCUUUUGACCUUGUUUUUGUAAGUGCGGACUCUAAGAUGUGGCUUGUAUGUGAACAGUGUGUUCGUAUAAGAAUCCUAGGAACUAACUUCAGAAGACACUGACCCCGACCUUCAGGCAUCCCAGCUCUAUGAGACAUGCUGACCUUAAACCUUGAAGUCAGGAUAAUCUAAAAUCAGGAUGACGUGGGGCCAGGAUGACUAACCCAGCAUGAUGCGCACUGACCAGCACUAUCCUUAUCAGAACCGACUGUGCUCGUCUGCACGUUGAGAACUUAGAGAACUUUCAGCUCCCUCCCUUAACCUCUUUGUUCUCUUCCCCUCUCCCUCCUUAUCACAACCUCUGGCUCCACUGAGAUGUGGAGAUAGGCUUUGAGAAGUGAUCGCCCAUCUUCCAGGAGGCUGGCACCUGAAAACAAACCACUUUCCUUGACAUCAGC